GAUGAACGCUGGCUACAGGCUUAACACAUGCAAGUCGAGGGGAAACGACGGGGAAGCUUGCUUCCCCGGGCGUCGACCGGCGCACGGGUGAGUAACGCGUAUCCAACCUGCCUCUGACUGAGGGAUAACCCGUCGAAAGUCGGCCUAAUACCUCAUGGUAUCGUCUGCGGGCAUCCAACGACGAUUAAAGAUUUCAUCGGUCAGGGAUGGGGAUGCGUCUGAUUAGCUUGUUGGCGGGGUAACGGCCCACCAAGGCUACGAUCAGUAGGGGUUCUGAGAGGAAGGUCCCCCACAUUGGAACUGAGACACGGUCCAAACUCCUACGGGAGGCAGCAGUGAGGAAUAUUGGUCAAUGGGCGAGAGCCUGAACCAGCCAAGUAGCGUGCAGGAAGACGGCCCUAUGGGUUGUAAACUGCUUUUAUGCGGGGAUAAAGUGAGGGACGUGUCCCUCAUUGCAGGUACCGCAGGAAUAAGGACCGGCUAAUUCCGU
rnacentral:rRNA from 1 species